rnacentral:rRNA from 1 species
AAUGGGCGAAAGCCUGAUCCAGCAAUGCCGCGAGUGCGAUGAAGGCUUUCGGGUUGUAAAGCACUUUUGUCAGGGAAGAAAUGGUUCGGGCUAAUACCUCGGACUUCUGACGGUACCUGAAGAAUAAGCACCGGCUAACUACGUGCCAGCAGCCGCGGUAAUACGUAGGGUGCAAGCGUUAAUCGGAAUUACUGGGCGUAAAGCGUGCGCAGGCGGUUUACUAAGACAGGUGUGAAAUCCCCGGGCCUAACCUGGGAACUGCAUCUGUGACUAGUAGACUAGAGUUUGGCAGAGGGGGGUGGAAUUCCUGGUGUAGCAGUGAAAUGCGUAGAUAUCAGGAGGAACACCGAUGGCGAAGGCAGCCCCCUGGGCCACCACUGACGCUCAUGCACGAAAGCGUGGGGAGCAAACAGGAUU